GCGCCCGUAGCUCAGUGGUCAACGGGUCCCUUCCGGGGCCAAAGAGCGUCGGUCUUCAAGCCGAAGGUCGCCAGUUCGAAUCUGGUCGGGCGCA
rnacentral:tRNA from 1 species